rnacentral:rRNA from 1 species
ACAAAAUAGUGAUAUGGAGCAAAACCCUAAAAACGGUCUCAGUUCGGAUUGAAGGCUGAAAUUCGCCUUCAUGAAGCUGGAAUUGCUAGUAAUGGCAGGUCAGCAUACUGCCGUGAAUACGUUCCCGGGCCUUGUACACACCGCCCGUCACACCAUGAGAGUUGGGAAUACCCGAAGCCUGUGAGCUAACUGUAAGGAGGCAGCAGUCGAAGGUAGAAUCAAUGAUUGGGGUGAAGUCGUAACAAGGUACC